GUUACUGGAUCCCCACACAGAGAACGUUAAGCAGGCCUCAGAGGGCGAGGUUUAUGUCAACAUGCCUUGGCUGAAACCUCCGAAGAUGCCAGCUGACAAAGAUGGUCACCCUCUCACUGGGUCCUCACAAUUUUGCUUUGAACGAUGUGUUCCACCAGGGCAACAGCAAUGACCAGAGGGAGGUUCUGAGUAAGCUGGAGCUUGUGCCUGAGCUUGCUGGUCUUAUUAACAGCCGGUGUGUGGAGCAGCUGUUUCCGGGGAUGAGAAAUAACAAUUACUUUUUGAAUCUGACAACCCCAUCAACACACAUAUUUCUACCAAUAAAUAUACUCCAUCAUUACAAUACGGCAUGAACCAAAAAAUGAAAAACCAGUGCAGCAAAAUUGUUCCUCCACAAUGCAGUGUGACAGCCAUGGAAGGGUAGUCUUAGCUCAUUCCCCUUCAGCCGGAAUGACAACGGGGUCAUCAGGCAAAGAACAAGAAGAGUCUCAAGAUUGUGAGUCAUUGCUCUAUUUUACACGUCGUUUAAAGGAGAAAUGUGACAGUCCACACUUCAUUUUUGUUUUUCUGUUGUUGCUUUUUUCACUAGUAAAUGAUGACAGUGAGCAGAGACCUCAUGGAGACUUCACUAGUCUCCACAAGUCGUCAGCACACAGAGCAUGCCGGGGACAGGAACUGCAAGACAGCCAGGAACAACUGGUAAAGUCAAACCAUUGUGCCACUGUGGUUAUCUAUGAAUGUCAUUCAUAUAAUCACAUGCAUGUAUAAAGACUGUGUUUUGUUCCACUAGCUGUCUCAGGUCUUGGGUGAGACCAAAAGUCCCACUCAGCACCUUGCAAUGGUGAAGAACAUCAUCCUGACCCGCUUUGACUUUUGGAGUCUUUAUUUAAUUCAAAUGGAUUGGAUAGUCUAGUUCAAUAGUCAAUAUAUGUUGACAGUAAGAGAUCAGCACUAUGUCUGUUACAGAGAGUAGAGAACGUGUUUGCUGCAGACAGCUUUGUCAUUUCCUCUUGGUUCCCACCAUCAUCGAUGAACCCCAUGGAUCACCUGCCGAUAAUUUGUUUAAACUUUUUGCUUUUGUGAGUGAAGUUUGAGCAUUUCAUAUUCAGCUAUUGAUGUCUUUUUACAGGACAAUGCAGCCAGUCUAGAGUGGAUUCUUCUCCCAGGGUUCGUACCUGGACAUUGGAUACAUACGGGUUUUGCGCCACUCUGUCCUUAGGUGCUGCAUUGACGUUUGAGGAUGGGCUGCCAUGUCUCCGCCAAUAGAUGGCGCCCGUGCAAUGGGUGGCGUCAACGUCUGCGGAGUACAAAGUUUAACUCUGCCCACAUUGAACCACGCUGUGUGCUGCAGCCAGGGGCUUCUCCUUCAUUUGGCCAAACAGCAGCAUAAGGACAUGGCUACAGGAGUCGUUUAUUACUUUAAGUGAGCAAUUUAUCUCCACCAUUGACUGGCACAUUUCGGUUUGUUUUUCCAGGACCUCUGCUGACAGAAUCCAGGGUCGUGGUGGUGUGUCUGCACGGGGCGGCGGAGGACUCGCACCCACACACGCAGCUCGCAGUUGACUGGUUCUGUGGGACUGGCUACAGACCGGUUUCUUCAGCCGAAGCCUGAUCAACGCCACUCGUGCCUGGCUCCAAAUGAUCUGAAGCAUCAUUUAAAUAAAGAAAUAAACUCUGACUGCAACCCUGUAUU
ensembl:lncRNA